CUGUCGUGAUAAUAAAGAACACUACCAUGAGGGCCCAGUGUGCAAUGGUUGCAAGCAGCAGCCUCCUCAGUAGUGUGUACAACCUGUUCCCACAUAGGUUGCCCUAAGGGACCUUGGUGACAACU
rnacentral:snoRNA from 1 species